UCAUGACCGAGGCACCCAGGUGCCCCCUGAAGCACUUUAAAUUAACCAGUGCGGAUGAGGGAGGUGGAUGCAAUUGUGCCCAUAUUACAGAUGAGGACACUAUAGAUCGGCCCUGCAUUUCAGCAGAAUGAAAGAACCACACUAAGGUGCUUGAAAAAUAAGUCAGACGUGGGUGAACCUGGGAGGCAUUAUGCUAAAUCAACUGAGCCAGACAUGAAAGGAGGAGUGCUGUCUGAUUCCACUCGUAUGAGACGAGACAGCUCUGGAGACGGGCGGCCGUGAUGGUCACACAACACUGUGAAUGUGCUCAGUGCUGCUGAACAGCGCACCGAAGAAUGGCUGAAAUGUUUUAAAGGGAGAAGACACGGAGAAGUCUGAAUACAAAUUUGUACGUUUGGUGUUACGUGGAUGUUUGCCCCUCUAAGCCCAAAGCUCCGUAAAGGAGAAGGAUAGUGUGAAAACUUUGUAAGAUGCCCAUCUGAAAUCCAGGUAUGCUCUCUCCGCACCGAUCCUUGGAUCUAUCAACAUGAUCCUGUGCCAUUGAGUCAGGGAGUUGGAAACACAUGCUCCAUUGUUGUAUAACACAGCACAUCACCAAUAGGGAAACAAGGUGACACAAGCACUCACAGUGAGUAUUUAUGAGUACUCACACAAGUACCUGCACGAGUACUCACAAAUGAGUACUCACACAAGGACCCGAAGCAUCCAGGUCAGGGAGAUGGUCAGCGAUAGUACCUGGACUCAAAGCUUGGGCUCCUGACUCCAUGUACGAGGGACUUUACAAAAUGUCCUGUCACUGCAAGAGAGAUCAAGCUGACUC